CGUUUUUAAAAAGAGAUCAGCUGAAACUGUGACUCUUGGAAACGGUAUAUAUAACUUUUUUCUGAGACUUAACCAACUACUAAAUAAUGGUUUUUAUGCCUUGUGGACAGACAACCAGGUGCUGAACUGAUGUCCAAGCCACUGAGGAAUAUGAAGUACCUUGGGCUGGAGGGCUGAAGCUGCCAUAGGAAAAUGGAAAACAACAAAAAUGGCAUGUUUCAGAAGAGACUAUGAUGACCAAAGAAGAAACUAACUAGGAAAAUAUCACCUUAUUUGCCUGAAAGCCUCAUUCUGCCACUAGUGUCUGGAAACAGAUCAACUCAGAGGAGGCACUGACAGCUUUGCAUACACCAGGUCUAAGAAGCCCAGGUUUAAGAAGCCACAGCCCAGCCAACAUCAGCAGCCAAAAAGACACAGCCAAA
rnacentral:lncRNA from 12 species